GGAAGAGAAAGAAAAUUCGAUUCCCUUAGUAGCGGCGAGCGAAACGGGAAGAGCCCAAACCAACAAGCUUGCUUGUUGGGGUUGUAGGACACUCUAUACGGAGUUACAAAGGACGACAUUAGACGAAUCAUCUGGAAAGAUGAAUCAAAGAAGGUAAUAAUCCUGUAGUCGAAAAUGUUGUCUCUCUUGAGUGGAUCCUGAGUACGACGGAGCACGUGAAAUUCCGUCGGAAUCUGGGAGGACCAUCUCCUAAGGCUAAAUACUCUCUAGUGACCGAUAGUGAACCAGUACCGUGAGGGAAAGGUGAAAAGCACCCCGGAAGGGGAGUGAAAUAGAACCUGAAACCGUGUGCUUACAAGUAGUCAGAGCCCGUUAAUGGGUGAUGGCGUGCCUUUUGUAGAAUGAACCGGCGAGUUACGAUUUGAUGCAAGGUUAAGCAGUAAAUGUGGAGCCGUAGCGAAAGCGAGUCUGAAUAGGGCGUUUAGUAUUUGGUCGUAGACCCGAAACCAGGUGAUCUACCCUUGGUCAGGUUGAAGUUCAGGUAACACUGAAUGGAGGACCGAACCGACUUACGUUGAAAAGUGAGCGGAUGAACUGAGGGUAGCGGAGAAAUUCCAAUCGAACCUGGAGAUAGCUGGUUCUCUCCGAAAUAGCUUUAGGGCUAGCCUCAAGUGAUGAUUAUUGGAGGUAGAGCACUGUUUGGACGAGGGGCCCCUCUCGGGUUACCGAAUUCAGACAAACUCCGAAUGCCAAUUAAUUUAACUUGGGAGUCAGAACAUGGGUGAUAAGGUCCGUGUUCGAAAGGGAAACAGCCCAGACCACCAGCUAAGGUCCCAAAAUAUAUGUUAAGUGGAAAAGGAUGUGGCGUUGCCCAGACAACUAGGAUGUUGGCUUAGAAGCAGCCAUCAUUUAAAGAGUGCGUAAUAGCUCACUAGUCGAGUGACACUGCGCCGAAAAUGUACCGGGGCUAAACAUAUUACCGAAGCUGUGGAUUGUCCUUUGGACAAUGGUAGGAGAGCGUUCUAAGGGCGUUGAAGCAUGAUCGUAAGGACAUGUGGAGCGCUUAGAAGUGAGAAUGCCGGUGUGAGUAGCGAAAGACGGGUGAGAAUCCCGUCCACCGAUUGACUAAGGUUUCCAGAGGAAGGCUCGUCCGCUCUGGGUUAGUCGGGUCCUAAGCUGAGGCCGACAGGCGUAGGCGAUGGAUAACAGGUUGAUAUUCCUGUACCACCUAUAAUCGUUUUAAUCGAUGGGGGGACGCAGUAGGAUAGGCGAAGCGUGCGAUUGGAUUGCACGUCUAAGCAGUAAGGCUGAGUAUUAGGCAAAUCCGGUACUCGUUAAGGCUGAGCUGUGAUGGGGAGAAGACAUUGUGUCUUCGAGUCGUUGAUUUCACACUGCCGAGAAAAGCCUCUAGAUAGAAAAUAGGUGCCCGUACCGCAAACCGACACAGGUAGUCAAGAUGAGAAUUCUAAGGUGAGCGAGCGAACUCUCGUUAAGGAACUCGGCAAAAUGACCCCGUAACUUCGGGAGAAGGGGUGCUCUUUAGGGUUAACGCCCAGAAGAGCCGCAGUGAAUAGGCCCAAGCGACUGUUUAUCAAAAACACAGGUCUCUGCUAAACCGUAAGGUGAUGUAUAGGGGCUGACGCCUGCCCGGUGCUGGAAGGUUAAGAGGAGUGGUUAGCUUCUGCGAAGCUACGAAUCGAAGCCCCAGUAAACGGCGGCCGUAACUAUAACGGUCCUAAGGUAGCGAAAUUCCUUGUCGGGUAAGUUCCGACCCGCACGAAAGGCGUAACGAUUUGGGCACUGUCUCAACGAGAGACUCGGUGAAAUCAUAGUACCUGUGAAGAUGCAGGUUACCCGCGACAGGACGGAAAGACCCCGUGGAGCUUUACUGUAGCCUGAUAUUGAAAUUCGGCACAGCUUGUACAGGAUAGGUAGGAGCCUUUGAAACGUGAGCGCUAGCUUACGUGGAGGCGCUGGUGGGAUACUACCCUAGCUGUGUUGGCUUUCUAACCCGCACCACUUAUCGUGGUGGGAGACAGUGUCAGGCGGGCAGUUUGACUGGGGCGGUCGCCUCCUAAAAGGUAACGGAGGCGCUCAAAGGUUCCCUCAGAAUGGUUGGAAAUCAUUCAUAGAGUGUAAAGGCAUAAGGGAGCUUGACUGCGAGACCUACAAGUCGAGCAGGGUCGAAAGACGGACUUAGUGAUCCGGUGGUUCCGCAUGGAAGGGCCAUCGCUCAACGGAUAAAAGCUACCCCGGGGAUAACAGGCUUAUCUCCCCCAAGAGUUCACAUCGACGGGGAGGUUUGGCACCUCGAUGUCGGCUCAUCGCAUCCUGGGGCUGUAGUCGGUCCCAAGGGUUGGGCUGUUCGCCCAUUAAAGCGGUACGCGAGCUGGGUUCAGAACGUCGUGAGACAGUUCGGUCCCUAUCCGUCGUGGGCGUAGGAAAUUUGAGAGGAGCUGUCCUUAGUACGAGAGGACCGGGAUGGACAUACCUCUGGUGUACCAGUUGUCGUGCCAACGGCAUAGCUGGGUAGCUAUGUGUGGACGGGAUAAGUGCUGAAAGCAUCUAAGCAUGAAGCCCCCCUCAAGAUGAGAUUUCCCAACUUCGGUUAUAAGAUCCCUCAAAGAUGAUGAGGUUAAUAGGUUCGAGGUGGAAGCAUGGUGACAUGUGGAGCUGACGAAUACUAAUCGAUCGAAGACUUAAUCAA
rnacentral:rRNA from 33 species